rnacentral:rRNA from 1 species
UGCGUAGGCGGUUUGUUAAGUCACUUGUAAAAGAUCUCAGCCCAACUGAGUAAGGCGAGUGAAACUGGCAGACUUGAAUACGGUAGAGGUAAGUGGAAUUCCAUGUGUAGCGGUGGAAUGCGUAGAUAUAUGGAGGAACACCAAUGGCGAAGGAAACUUACUGGGCCGGAAUUGACGCUGAGGCACGAAAGCGUGGGGAGCAAACAGGAUUAGAUACCCUGGUAGUCC